GACGAACGCUGGCGGCGUGCCUAAUACAUGCAAGUAGAACGCACAGUUUAUACCGUAGCUUGCUACACCAUAGACUGUGAGUUGCGAACGGGUGAGUAACGCGUAGGUAACCUGCCUGGUAGCGGGGGAUAACUAUUGGAAACGAUAGCUAAUACCGCAUAAUAUUAAUUAUUUCAUGAUAAUUAAUUGAAAGGUGCAAUUGCACCACUACCAGAUGGACCUGCGUUGUAUUAGCUAGUAGGUGAGGUAACGGCUCACCUAGGCGACGAUACAUAGCCGACCUGAGAGGGUGAUCGGCCACACUGGGACUGAGACACGGCCCAGACUCCUACGGGAGGCAGCAGUAGGGAAUCUUCGGCAAUGGACGAAAGUCUGACCGAGCAACGCCGCGUGAGUGAAGAAGGUUUUCGGAUCGUAAAGCUCUGUUGUAAGAGAAGAACGGGUGUGAGAGUGGAAAGUUCACACUGUGACGGUAUCUUACCAGAAAGGGACGGCUAACUACGUG
rnacentral:rRNA from 1 species